CCCGGUGAUGAUUGCGAUGGGGCAUCACCUCUUCCCAUUCCGAACAGAGAAGUUAAAACCAUCAGCGCCGAAAAUACUUGACAGAAUGUCUGGGAAAAUAGGUCGUCGCCGGGA
rnacentral:rRNA from 1 species